GGAAGAGGAAGAGGAAGAGGGUCAACAUCAAUAAUAAACACACGCGCGCUUUUUUCACACAUUUAAAACAUUGCUCUUAUUUUUUGACAGAGAGAGAGAGAGAGAGAGAGAGAGAGAGAGAGAGAGAGAGAGAGAGAGAGAGAGAGAGAGAGAGAGAGAGAGAGAGAGAGAGAGAGA